rnacentral:lncRNA from 1 species
UUAUUAAUAUUAUUAGUGAUGUUUUCAAUGUAUUGAGCAUUAUGUUGGACUAAAUGUUUGAAAUCGGGUCUUUUCUGAAUAAAUUUCGAGCUUCUACUUGGUUUUUGAUUGUAGUUGAUGACUGCCCUAACCAUUCGAUGAUCAAAAGAAACUUUAAAAUUAUUAAGAACUUGGAUAUCGUCAAAAAUUAAUCUGAUUGCUAAUAAUAAAGUCUAUUUCUUUUAUGGUAAUGCCAUUUGGGGAGUUGCAGCUCUGCAGUUAGAUGAAUACCCGCUUGAGAUGUUUGAAGAGAUUUUAUAUCAGAAGCAAAGAAGGUGUUAGUUGCUAGACCUUUUUCAUAUUCAGAAAUCCGGAAGUUGGUGAUAGUUUGCGGACGAUGACCGACAUAUAGUAUACAACCGGCCAUAUAAGAUAUUAUAAUAUGGAAUUCUUCUACUGUAAGUAUAUCCUUCGUAAUAAUUCGUUCUAUUUCUGGUUGUAUCUCCUCCAUCCAUUGGAACUGUUUAAUGUUGGUCGAUUCAGGGAGUUGUGCGUAGUGUCGACGACGUUUGACUGCUCUUACCCGUUCUGUGACUUAUUUCUUUCGUGUCAUUUGUUCGCAGAUCUCUAAUAUUAUUUUCUGUGUUUCUUCAUUUUGCUAAUGUCGAUUAGUCAAAUAGUUUAGCAAUAUGGAUCAAAGGAAUCAAACGUUUUAUAACCUAUCUCCUUUUAAUCCGCAGCGGGUAAGAGCAGUCAAAUGCCGCGAUAAGAUUAUCUUCCGCAAAUGGUUCUGUUAGAUUAUGUUGUCGUAAAUGCUGAUAGAACUUUCUCACAUUAUUAUACAGUUGUUUUGUUUCCUGUGACCAUUCAUUUUCUUCUCCUACAUUCAAUAAAUUUCGAAAUCCUAAUACUUCGGGUAAAUCUUCUGAUGCUACAUUAUAGAAACCUGCUUGUUGUAAUUUUCCGGCCACCGAGGAUGAAGGAUAGUGAAGUGUUUUAAGUGUUAAAGAUAAUAGUGGAGAACGGCUACAAGUAGGUGCUUGUAAUAUUGGACUGUGGACAGGCGAACAACUAGAUACAUCCGGAAUAGGCGAACUGUGGACAGGCGAAUAACUAGGUGAAUUUGGUAGAGGCGGACUGUAGAUAGGCGAAGCAUCAGAUAAUAUUUGAACUGGAUCAGAAUCGGUAGCUACAGUUUUAGGUCUUGAAGCUGUCGGAAUAUGUAAUCGUAGCAGUAAUCGGUUUUCCGGAUAGUUAUAAAAGCAGAUAUAGUCAUCCUUAUAUAUGAAUUUAAAUUUUGUUGACGGAAAAGAGUGACAAAGAGCUACGAAGAAUGUAUAGAUGAAAUUGCUGAAUUCAUGUACAGCUAUACAGUGACGUUUAAAAUGCGUUACAGUAACGUUGCAAUUAACAAUCGGACAUUCUGUACGUUUUUCGUUUCCCAUCUAAAAAACAAAAAUAACGAACUGUAAUAUGCGUUGUCAAUGUAC